rnacentral:rRNA from 1 species
CGAACGCUGGCGGCGUGCUUAACACAUGCAAGUCGAACGGAAAGGCCCUGCUUUUGUGGGGUGCUCGAGUGGCGAACGGGUGAGUAACACGUGAGUAACCUGCCCUUGACUUUGGGAUAACUUCAGGAAACUGGGGCUAAUACCGGAUAGGAGCUCCUGCUGCAUGGUGGGGGUUGGAAAGUUUCGGCGGUUGGGGAUGGACUCGCGGCUUAUCAGCUUGUUGGUGGGGUAGUGGCUUACCAAGGCUUUGACGGGUAGCCGGCCUGAGAGGGUGACCGGCCACAUUGGGACUGAGAUACGGCCCAGACUCCUACGGGAGGCGGCAGUGGGGAAUAUUGCACAAUGGGCGGAAGCCUGAUGCAGCAACGCCGCGUGCGGGAUGACGGCCUUCGGGUUGUAAACCGCUUUCGCCUGUGACGAAGCGUGAGUGACGGUAAUGGGUAAAGAAGCACCGGCUAACUACGUG